rnacentral:misc_RNA from 1 species
UUUGUGUUUUGUGUUUUGUGUUGGAUGGCUGCAUUUCUCUUUCUCUCGAUUUUUAGAACCUAAAAAAAAAAUCCCCAUUCAUUCAUUCGUUCGUUCAUUCAUUCUCUGUAUAAUUAAUUUUGCAGACAAUCCAAUACCAUUAUUCAAUCAAUCAUGCGACCAGCCGCCAACUCCACCAACGCUGCAUCAUCCAUGCCUCCUCCAUCUUCCGCCGGGCAACGCAGUCGUCCCCGCCGUCGUACUGAUUUGACCCUUCCUCUUCCUCAACGUGACGUUGCUCUUGCUGUUCCUCUCCCUCUUCCACCAACCUCUUCCUCAUCCUCUUCCUCCCCGCUUCCUACCCCUUUACAUUUCUCUGAGCUCGAGAGGGUUAAUCGCAUCGGUAGUGGCACCGGGGGUACUGUUUACAAGGUUCUACAUCGUCCCACUGGAAGACUCUAUGCUUUGAAAGUGAUCUAUGGUAACCACGAGGAUUCUGUCCGUCUUCAGAUGUGCCGUGAGAUCGAGAUUCUACGAGAUGUAGACAACCCUAACGUCGUUAGGUGUCACGAUAUGUUCGAUCACAACGGAGAAAUCCAAGUUCUUCUCGAGUUCAUGGAUAAAGGCUCUCUCGAAGGGAUCCAUAUCCCUCUCGAACAACCUCUCUCCGAUCUAACUCGACAGGUUCUAUCCGGCCUCUAUUACCUCCACAGGCGUAAGAUUGUUCACAGAGAUAUCAAACCUUCGAACCUCUUAAUCAACUCCAGGCGUGAGGUCAAGAUUGCAGAUUUUGGGGUCUCAAGAGUUCUGGCACAAACUAUGGAUCCUUGCAAUUCCUCAGUGGGUACCAUCGCUUACAUGAGUCCGGAGAGAAUCAACACAGAUCUGAAUCACGGACAGUACGACGGGUAUGCUGGGGACAUAUGGAGUCUUGGGGUGAGCAUCUUAGAGUUCUACUUGGGAAGGUUCCCCUUUUCUGUGGGGAGACAAGGAGACUGGGCCAGCCUCAUGUGUGCCAUUUGUAUGUCUCAGCCUCCUGAGGCACCACCCAGUGCUUCUAGGGAGUUUAGGGAGUUCAUUGCGUGCUGUUUGCAGAGGGAUCCUGCCAGGCGGUGGACGGCAGGCCAGCUAUUGCGCCAUCCCUUCAUCACCCAGAAUAGCACCGGCACCACCCACACGGGUCCUGCUACUACUACGACCUCACUGAGUCAUCCAUUGUUACCUCCACCUCCUCAUUUUUCCUCCUCUUCUUGACGGUUUUAGGUUUGGAGAAAUUCCCCACUCUCUUUUGUUUUAGUUUUGUGGUUUUAUUUUGGUGUAAUGUUAAAAUGUUGUUUACUGAUGAUGGAUUUUUAUUUGUGGGAGAAAGAAAAAAUGGGGCUGGUUUUCCACUUUGAGGGAAGUAGAAAUAUUAUGGGUUGCCCCCAACUUAGUGAUUCAAUUAAUGAUAUUUUGGAUAUUUAUUAAAUCAUCCUAAGUUUUGCUUGUGAUUGAUUGUUUGUGUAUUGGAUUUGUUCAAAGUUACAUUUAAAUGGGGAAAAAGAGAUAAAA